CCUCCCUCUAAGAUGGGAGAGACCCCGGGCAGCCGGAAAGCCUUGGCCCUGGACGUGGAGACCACCCCAGUGGAGAGGGGAGAGAGAACGGCGGCAGAGGGCCUCACCCACUCCCGCCUCUCCGUCAGCCCCUAUCACACGGCGCUGGUCUCCUCGCACGUAGGAAGGUUGUCGCGUGAACUGCAUGGCGUGCUAGGUGCUCUCUCAGGACUAUCAGUCACUUCAAGCCACUGAAGAGGACAAUGCUUAACAAACAACCGAAUUCCUCCUUCCAGCUCUGAGAGUUGGCACACCCCAUGGAGCGCCUCCUUUGCGCCCCGUCCUGGGGAAAGAGCAGUGAGCACAGGGGUAAAGUUCCUGCCUCACGGCCCUGCAUCAUUUCUUAGGAAGGCAGACCAUGCACACAAACACAACCUGCCGGGUGUUGGGUUGACUGAGAGAGCAGAGCAAGGCGGAGGCAUAGCGGGCGUGAUGGAGGAAGGCCUCACGGCAGGCAACAUCUGACCUGAGGCCUGAGCUCAGGGUCAGCCAUGUGGGCAUGGUCAGUGUGGUCUGUCCACCCCUCCUGCUCGCCCACAUUUCAUGGUGUUUCCCCAGCAGGCCAACCCCCUCCUGCCUCGGGGCCUUUGCUCUAGCUGUUUCCAGUGCCUAUGAUGCUCCUCCUUCCCCUCUCCAAGCUUUUGCCUAAGUGUCACCUUCUCAACAAGGCCUGCCCUGAGCAGCCUAUUUAAAACGGCCACCCUCACCCCACUGACCGGCUCUGUUUCUCCCUGUGAUGCUUGCCACCCUCUGGUAUGCCGCAUCCUCUGCACGGGUAUGAUGUUUGUUGCCUGCUGCCCUGGGCUGGAGGCUUGACUGGUGCGGGCACUCCCACGGCUCCAUCUCACGAGCAGAUCCGAGUGGCCAGAGCAAGGCCUGGCCAGGGGCAAGUGCUCGGUAAGUCCUCACACACCCGCGCAUUCCUUCGCCCCUGAAACGCCCACCCUGUCCAGGCGCGGCACCUGAGUGGGCAGAAGACCCUCGGAGCGUGGGAGGGCGGGGAGCACCGCCGCUGCUUCCCGGUGAGCUGUUUUGGUCGAAUGCUGGCGGGAGGCAGUGUGGUUGGCUUGGGAUUUCUCCAGGCUCCACUUCUCUGCCACCUCGCCCCCCCCCCCGCCCUCUUCGCCAGAGAGCACAGAGCACUGGCCCUUGCUCAGAUCGGGAAGCCGAAGGGGGGCCCGAGGAGGGUGGGCAUGGCCGGAGACCUGGCACAGAGUCAGAAGGGGGCUGGGAUCCAGGGGCUCGGGGCCGGGCGAGGGGUGGGCCUGCCAGGGUGGGUCGGAGUGGAGGCAGAGAGGCACGAGCCUCCUGCAGAGGCUGAGGGAGAGAGGGGACCCUGUCCUGAUAGACUCCCUCUGGGAUCCUGUAAUGAGCCUGGCAGCACCAUCCCGGUCUCAGCUCCACAGGGCUCCGGCGCUCUCAGCGGUGUGUCUGGGAGAAUUAACCGCCUCGAUGCCUGACAGACGUGGAGAGCAGAGUGUGAGUGUGUGUGGUGGUGGGGAAGAGGCAGCGCUUCCCUCUAAAAUCAUCUGUGACUGCCACUCAGGUUUCCGCUUUCAGAGCCUCCAUUAUCCGCCAGCCUCGGGCGGCCCCCUGUGCCACCACCACCACCACCAUUCCCGAGGCUCUGCCUGCAGCUGGCUCUGCCCUCUCUGUGUCCCCAAGCAGAGCUUUCAAAUGCCCCUUCCUCAGGCUUGGCACUAAUGCCCGCCGUGCUGCCGUGCCCUCGCCUGCGGUGCCCACUCCAGCCUGACAGUCACUUUCUCCAAGGGUCCCAGUCCCUCGAUUGCCAACAAGUGUUCCCUGGGGCUGGUCAGAGUUAAGUCCAGAGCAGCGCAUUUCUUCCCUGCUUCCUCCGUUUCUGAGCUAUGAAAUGAUCCACUGAGCAAAUCAAUGAUUCAUCAGAUUAUCCACAUUUAGUCUAAAUUAAAUUGCUUCCCCUCAGGCUAGACUUUGAAGUCUGGCUUCACCUGAGUCCACCACCCAGCCUGCUGUCCGACAGAGUGCAGCCAGCUCACCCCCACGCUGGGCCCCUUCUCCCCACCACGCGUUCCCCACUCUGCUGUGCCCUGACCCCAGUCUUAGCCCAAUCGGACCCCCUGUCCAGAAGCCCAUCCUUCUCUCCGUUGUCAUCCAGCUUGCUCUUCAAGGUCCCGUCUUAAACCCAACCUUCGCCAUGAGCUUCUCUGGGCUUCUGCAACAGGCAGAAGUAGUUUACGAUUAGACGCACACAACUUUGCAUUCAGUCGCACUCCAUCUGUUUCACGUUGGAGUGAGUCGCUAAGUAACACAAGGGCAGGACACUGUAACUGACCCCCUCACAACACCAAGCACAGCCCACUCGAUAAAUACGUGUCGAUUGGACCAAGGUGAUUCCACCUUUCUCUCCAGCUUUAUCCCUUUCUCUUUUUUUAUGCUUUCUUUUUGAUGAGGAAGAUUGGCCCUGAGCUAACAUCUGUUGCCAAUCUUCCUCCUCUUUUUUUUCCUCCCCAAAGCCCCAGUACUUAGUUGCACAUCCUAGUUGUGAGUCAUUCUAGUUCUUCCAUGUGGGAUGCCGCCACAGCAUGGCUUGAUGAACAGCGUGUAGGUUCGCACCUGGGAUCUGAACCAGCGAGCCCUGGGCUGCUGAAGGGGAGUGUGCGAACCCAACCACUUGGCCACGGGACCCAACCCAUAUCCCUUUUUCUUAAUCCAAACUACCUUUAGCCCCUCAGCCCUCCAUCCCGCUUUUCCCUCCAGUCCUCAGGGUACAGGGUCAGGUGAUCUCGCUGGCUGCACGCCUACUGAAGAGACUGGAAGCAGGGCUGACGUGGGCAGGAGGCCAGAUGAGAGAAGCUGGAAGCUGGUUUGAGGAGCCACUGAUAGAGACGACAUGGAUGGAUUCCAGAGAUAAUCAGAAGGCUAGAAACUGAUUGCUGCACUCACCUGUGACCGCCCAGCUCGAGACAAUAGACUUGCCUCCUGCUACGCCCUCUGAGACAGCAGACCCACUACCUGUGUCCAUCAAGCGCUGCACCGACAGGAAAAUCUUGUGAUUAUUGUAGAAGGGACAUUUCAAUCAUAUGUAAAGCAUCCUGUAUGGGGUAUAUAACCACCCUGUAUACCUUACUUCUUCGGUGCCCUUUCUUCCUAGGGAAGAAAGACCCCGGGCCACGGUCCUCAGAUUUUAGAUCAGAAUAAACUCUCCCAAAUUUUCA
ensembl:lncRNA